GACGAACGCUGGCGGCGUGCUUAACACAUGCAAGUCGAACGAAGUGGCGAACGGGUGAGUAAUACGUGGGUAACCUGCCCUCCUUUGUGGGAUAAGCCUUGGAAACGGGGGCUAAUACCGAAUAAAGGUGGAUGGGCUCGGGGCCUAUCAGCUUGUUGGUGGGGUGAUGGCCUACCAAGGCGGUGCCGGGUAGCCGGCCUGAGAGGGUAAACGGGCACUGUGGGACGGAGAUACGGCCCAGGCUACGACGGAGGGGGGAAGUGUGGGAUAUUGCACAAUGGGCGAAAGACUGAUGCAGCGACGCGGCGUGGGGGAUGAAGGCUUUAGGGUUGUAAACGUCUUUAGGUAGCGAACGGGUAGGUGGAGAAGAAGCGCCGGCUAACUACGUGCCAGCAGCCGCGGUAAUAC
rnacentral:rRNA from 1 species